UCACUCGCCCCCCUCCCCCUGCUCUGUCUGCAAAGCUCUUGAAUUAUUCUCCUUCCCCGCGAGUCGCUCGUCCCGUCACAUCCCACGCGCCGGGCCCCGCCGGGCUAUCAGCACUGGGCCUCGCCGGCCAACGCGCCGCGGGGACUCCGCGUGGCCCCUUGGAAUGAUCCUUGGGCUCUGGGAAAGUUGUAGUUCCCUUCACCACAAAAUGGCUACGGCUGGGAGAGGAGAAACUACACUUCCCAGCCUGCCCCGCGCGGCUGGUAUUAAAACACCGUUGAUGCUGAUGCAGUUCCUCAGUGUCAGAAGCUAAGGUGAGAGGCCAGCUGCUUCUGAGGACAUUGUCUGCUGCUAUCAAGAUAUUCCGAGAACUAUUCAUGAGGGGCAUCUCAUGGUUCAUUGUCCCACAUGCUUCAGGUGUGUAUGCAUGUCUUCCAGCCACUUUAUCCUCUGCUGAGCCAGAUUUUACUAGACGGCGCUGAUACAAACCUGGUUCUGGCUGCAUGGUAGAUGUGUAAGAAUAAACAUAGAUAUACAUGGCUGUGAUAAUUAUCCCUGGUUGUGUGAAUACACAGCAACCAUGUAUUUUGUGAUUGCGUCAGAAGAAAGUGACAUGAACUGAUUAUGAAAGUAUAGCUGUACUAUGUAGAGGAGGCCUGAUAUGUCAUUGGAUUGUAUGUUUGUAAACAAUUGCAAGAACAAUGUCAUACUUUGUACAUGUCAGUUUCUUUGCUGUCUGGAACAUUGUAGAGACUUAGAAUAUCAUAAGUCCUAAAUGUACAAUAAAAUGUUGCAGGUAGCCUAUAAAGGAAUAUCUUCAUGAGAAUUCUGUUUGCUGUGCAAACUCCCAUAAUGAUUUAAGAGCAGUUUUUACCAACUGUUGGAAAAUAACAUUUUACCUUUUAAUGUAGUUAAAAACAAAAAUUCUCAUGUUUGAUAAACAUUUAUGCAUAUUUUUUCAUACCUAGAUAUAAUGGAGUAUAAUUUAAGACUCUGGGCAGGG